rnacentral:lncRNA from 1 species
UUUUUUUUUUUUUUUUUGAGUUGGAGUCUUGCUCUGUCGCCAGGCUGGAGUGCAGUGACAUGAUCUCAGCUCACUGCAACCUCCGACUCCCGGGUUCAAGCAAUUCUCCUCCCUCAGCCUCCUGAGUAGCUGGGAUUACAGGCGUGCACCACCAUGCCCGGCUAAUUUUUGUAUUUUUAGUAGAGACGGGGUUUUACCAUGUUGGUCAGGCUGGUCUCGAACUCCUGAUCUCGUGAUCUACCUGCCUUGGCCUCCCAGAGUGCUGGGAUUACAAGCGUGAGCCACCACACCCAGCAGAAAAGCAUUCUCUUGAACACCACCAAUAAUAGUAACCAUAUUUUUCUUAACCAAGGAUCAGAUGUUUUGGUCUAAAAAAGGAAUUUUGUGCCACUUACAGAAACCAGAGAUCAUAAGUGUGCUAUCGUUUAUUAUUAAAAUGUGAGACGACAUAUUCUGAUGGUUUACAGUGUUAAGACAUCAAAUAUUAAAAUUAACACAGCCAAGAAAAUCUAUGCCUGUUUGGAGAAACUGAAAUACUAAUGGCCCUUUCCAGCUCUGCACACUCCCAAUCCUAGAAGCCCUCUCCUCUCUUGGCUUCCAGGACACCCUUUCUUUUUUUUUUUUUUUUUUUUUUGAGACAGUCUCGCCCACGCCCCAGGGUGGAGUGCAGUGGUGCGAUAGCUCAGUGCAAUCUCCCCCUCCCAGGUUCCAGUGAUUCUCCUUCCUCAGCCUCCCGAGUCACUGGGACUACAGGCACCUGCCACCCCGCCCAGCUAAUUUUUGUAUUUUUAAUAGAGACGGGGUUUCACCAUGUUGGCCAGGAUGGUCUCGAUCUCUUGACCUUAUGAUCCACCCAGCUCGGCCUCCCAAAGUGCUGAAGCAGGAGGAUCGCUUGAGGUAGGAAGUUCAAGACCAGCCUGUGCAACAUAGCAAGACCCUGUCUCUAAAAAAAUUUUUUUUUAAUUAGCCAGGAGUGGCGGUGAGUGCCUAUAGUUCCAGUUAUUCAGGAGGCUGAGAUGGGAGGACUGCUUGAGCCCAGGAGUUGGAGGCUACAGUGAGUUAAGAUGGCACUCCUGCACUCCAGCCUGGGUGAUGGAGUGAGGCUCUGUCUCUUAAAAUAAACAAAUAAACAAAAACAAAACAAAACCACCAAAUGCUCAUUUCUAACUACCUAUUGUACAAAUCUGCCAAAUAUCACAAAUACAGUAUAUCAAAAUAAAGCUCAUCAUCAUACCCCAAAUCUCUACUUGCUGAUAUAUAACUGGUUAACUCGAUAAAUAUGUUGAAUUAAGCUGAAUUUACAGAAUUACAAUCCUUCUAGUUGCUCCAAUUUAAAACCUCAGCAUCACCUCUGUUCCUUAUCUCUUAGUGAAUCAGAUAACAGAAUCUAUUAACUUUUUCCCUAAAAAUCUCUCCUGCCCGCUCUUCUCCAUCUCUACUAAAAAUAUUUUUAUUCAGGCUCUCGUUUUUCUAAUUAGUCUCCCUUUCACUCUUCACUCACUGACGUCACCACCCAUCUAUUAAUUAAACUAAUAUUUUGAAAGCACCACCUAAGGGUGAGGCACCAGAUACAACAAGAAAGCAGAAUAGUCUAUGCCCUUGCAGAGUUAAGAGUUUCUAAGAGGACUGCAAUUAAACAAGUAUUUACAACAAAAGGGCAGCAUGGGAAGUAAAUUCUGUCUGCCAUGAAAGUACCCAACUAAUUCUACGCAGUAAGAAAAAGUUGCCUCCUCUAUACCCCCAAAAAUGUUUGCACUGAGAGUUAAAAUAUGAAUAAAAGUUAGAAGUAGGGGAAAGAAUAUUCCAGGCAAGCGAAAAUGCAUUUACGAAGAGUUUGAGAAAUUCAGUUCAAUUAACAAAGAUCUGAGAGGGUGAGAGGUUAAAGGAGGAGGAAAGGCAGAGAGCAGACCGUAGUCUUCUGAGCCACAGCAAUCUGAACACUAUCCUAAGACCAUAGGAAACCACUGAAGAAUCUUAAACGGGAUAGUUAUGACUGGACUUAGUAAAUCCACUCUGACUGGUAUGGAAAACUGAUUAAAGAGAAACAAGAACUCUUUCCAAACACUGUUGAAUCAAUCCUACCUAAAUACACGGAGAGAGAAUAGAUCUGAACCCUUUCCUUACCCCCUCUGGAUUCGGAUGGCUCCCCACUGUCAAGAGGAAUCCAACCCAGUUUGGCAUUCAGACCCUCUCCCCCAUGUGGCCCGGCUGACCUUUCUUUCCAGUGUUCUCUCACAUCUCCCGCAAAUCCUAAAACCGAGUUCUCGCCUCACAUACAGUUGCAACCAUUCUUUUCCCUCUGCUUCCAACACCCGUCAGGCUCACUCUCUUCUUUACCGGGUCAACUUUCACGGACUCCUCAAAACUCAUACAAGCGGAGCCUUCUGAGAAGCCCCUCUCUGACAUCCAUCGAUUUAAAUGACGCUCCCGGUCCCAAAGCAUCCUGGAUAGUUUGCCUCUCUCCUGCUACACGGAAAACUCCCCGAACGCUACAAUCGAGUACCCCCAAUUUCCAGCUCUGUGCAAAAGCGCUCGAAAGCGGUGCGCACGCGCAUACUCGAGGUGCUCUGACGCCACGCACAACCAACCAGACACGCACCCUGACAGGCACUCGCACUCUCAAAAACUGAGCCGCGGCUGCGCUUCCUGAAGUAAGGAUUCCCCAACCGGGCGCCUGGAUCCCAGGGAACAGAGAGAUGCCAGCACAGUUCUCCCCACCCUUUUGGUAGCCCUGGUCCCUAAGGCUCGUUGGGACUGCGAGCUGCAAGCCUCCGAUC